rnacentral:lncRNA from 1 species
CUGGCCGCGGCAGUGACCGGAGCUGCCGGCCGACAUGAAUUCGCUGGAACAGGCGGAAGGUAAUCUCAAGGCUUUCGAAAGAAGACUUACUGAAUAUAUUCAUUGCUUGCAACCUGCCACUGGACGUUGGAGAAUGCUGCUUAUAGUGGUGUCUGUCUGUACAGCUACUGGUGCCUGGAACUGGCUAAUAGACCCUGAGACACAAAAGGUGUCCUUCCUCACGUCACUGUGGAACCAUCCGUUCUUCACGAUUAGCUGUAUAACGCUGAUAGGCUUGUUCUUUGCUGGAAUACACAAAAGAGUAGUCGCACCAUCAAUUAUAGCUGCUCGAUGUCGAACGGUAUUAGCAGAAUACAAUAUGUCUUGUGAUGACACAGGAAAGCUAAUUUUGAAACCUAGACCUCAUGUUCAAUGACAGUCUGCACUAUUGUAAGGGAACCUAAACCAGUCUUUCCUCAAGUAAGUGAUACCGCAGAAUACCAUAAAGGAUUUCUUUUAGAGUUGGACAUGUGACGGUUUAGCAGCAACUGACAAGAAGCGUGCAAUACUUGCCCAGAUGAUCUUGACGAUGCUGGCCGAGCUCUUGGCGCCUCAGUACCUUUGAUUACCUGUGUUCAGUAUUAGUGUCACUUCAGCACUUCAGCCCCUGCACAGAACUCUGCAGAUGAAGUUUGUGUGUAUUACUAAGUUAAACUUAGAAUCCAGACCUCCUUCAGUUUUUAUAAUGUAUUUUUGCAAAUUACUGUAAAUAGCAAAUCAAUGCCAAUGUUAAACCAAGAGGAAAAUGUUUGGACUUUGUUCUCCUGCACCAGUAUUUCAGGAACCAUCUGCUUGACAUCCCCACAGCUCCUUAAACUGACUGCUACGGGUGCCUUUCAUUCUUAAUGCCUCUUUCCAUUGCGCUGCAGGAAAAACAUCCGAUUUUACUUAGAAUCCCUGAGCCAAUCUCAUCUUCAUUAUGUUGAAAAAUUUAUAGAUGUUUCGACAAUUUUUGUUAGGUCCGAUACUGGAUUCUGGGAACUAUUAUAUUUUUCAGUAAAUUGUUUUGAUUUAACACUAAAUUACUUUUUCUUUUUUGGUUCUUUUUUUUCGGAGCUGGGGACCGAACCCAGGGCCUUGCGCUUCCUAGGUAAGCGCUCUACCACUGAGCUAAAUCCCCAGCCCCUACUAAAUUACUUUUUUUAAAAAAAUUAAAAACCACCCCAAAGUCUUCUGAAUGUACAAGUUAAACAAUGAUGUAUUGUGUGGGAAUUUGACAGUCCUUAUUGUAGGUGACUGGAUGGGUUUUAUGCUGUGGUAGACGUGUCACACUAGUGCUGUACUAGUGGUGGGCCCAGUCCAUCACCAGUAACACAGACCCACACCACAAACCAGAGCGAGCCUGCAGCUCUCCCUGCUGGAGAGUGCUGGUGGCACUGUGUAUGCACAACAGCCACGUUUGCUACAGGAGCAAUGGAAUUGAAAUGGAACUGUUGGGAUUGCUGUAAAUGCUUAAAGUACUAGAGGUGCCUUUUACCUGUUUAUUAGAAGAUUUUGAAAAGGUUAAAUUAUUUCAUGAGCAACAUUUUAAAUUCCAUCCAACAUUAAAUUUGAAUAAUAGAACAAAAACAUUUAACAAAGCUGCCCUUUAACUAACGUGGACUCAUCUUGACUGUCCUGUGUCUAAGAUUGUGUUCUCUGAACUGCAGCAAUAAACCCCCUGCUUCAAAGAACUCUCUAAGAGGGGAUUCUGUAUGUCCUGCAUUGUUUCAUUUUCUGUAAAUUUGUAGUAAAUAUGUGCAUAAAAUAAAUACUUUAUAUAUAACU